UGCGUAGACGGUAUGUUAAGUUCGUUGUUAAAGGCUCCGGCCUAACCGGAGUACCGCAAUGAAAACUGGCGUGCUAGAGGGUGAGAGAGAGAAGUGGAAUUCCCGGAGUAGCGGUAAAAUGCGUGGAUCUCGGGAGGAACACCAAUGGCGAAGGCAGCUUCUUGGCUUAUUCCUGACGUUGAGGCACGAAAGCGUGGGGAGCAAACA
rnacentral:rRNA from 1 species